UACGGGGGGGGGCAAGCGUUGUUCGGAAUUACUGGGCGUAAAGGGCUCGUAGGCGGCCAACUAAGUCCGACGUGAAAUCCCAAGGCUUAACCUUGGAACUGCGUCGGAUACUGGAUGGCUUGAAUUCGGGAGAGGGAUGCAGAAUUCCAGGUGUAGCGGUGAAAUGCGUAGAUAUCAGGAGGAACACCGGUGGCGAAGGCGGGUCUCUGGGCCGUAACUGACGCUGAGGAGCGAAAGCGUGGGGAGCGAACAGG
rnacentral:rRNA from 1 species